GUCCACGUAGUUUAUAAUAAAAUACCGGUCUUGUAAAUCGGAAAAAGGUAGUACCUCUUGGACU
rnacentral:tRNA from 1 species